rnacentral:rRNA from 1 species
UACGAAGGGGGCUAGCGUUGCUCGGAAUCACUGGGCGUAAAGCGCACGUAGGCGGCUUUCUAAGUCAGGGGUGAAAUCCUGGAGCUCAACUCCAGAACUGCCUUUGAUACUGGAGAGCUUGAGUCCGGGAGAGGUGAGUGGAACUCCGAGUGCAGAGGUGAAAUUCGUAGAUAUUCGGAAGAACACCAGUGGCGAAGGCGGCUCACUGGCCCGGUACUGACGCUGAGGUGCGAAAGCGUGGGGAGCAAACAGG